rnacentral:rRNA from 1 species
AUUGAACGCUGGCGGCAGGCCUAACACAUGCAAGUCGAACGGUAACAGGAAGCAGCUUGCUGCUUUGCUGACGAGUGGCGGACGGGUGAGUAAUGUCUGGGAAACUGCCUGAUGGAGGGGGAUAACUACUGGAAACGGUAGCUAAUACCGCAUAACGUCGCAAGACCAAAGAGGGGGACCUUAGGGCCUCUUGCCAUCGGAUGUGCCCAGAUGGGAUUAGCUAGUAGGAGGGGUAACGGCUCACCUAGGCGACGAUCCCUAGCUGGUCUGAGAGGAUGACCAGCCACACUGGAACUGAGACACGGUCCAGACUCCUACGGGAGGCAGCAGUGGGGAAUAUUGCACAAUGGGCGCAAGCCUGAUGCAGCCAUGCCGCGUGUAUGAAGAAGGCCUUCGGGUUGUAAAGUACUUUCAGCGGGGAGGAAGGGAGUAAAGUUAAUACCUUUGCUCAUUGACGUUACCCGCAGAAGAAGCACCGGCUAACUCCGUG